rnacentral:rRNA from 1 species
UACGUAGGGUGCGAGCGUUGUCCGGAAUUAUUGGGCGUAAAGGGCUCGUAGGCGGUUUGUCGCGUCGGGAGUGAAAACCCAGGGCUUAACCCUGGGCUGGCUUUCGAUACGGGCAGACUAGAGGUAUGCAGGGGAGAACGGAAUUCCUGGUGUAGGCGGUGAAAUGCGCAGAUAUCAGGAGGAACACCGGUGGCGAAGGCGGUUCUCUGGGCAUUACCUGACGCUGAGGAGCGAAAGUGUGGGGAGCGAACAGG